UAGUGAUUAGUUUCUUAUUAUAUACUGUUGUGACAAUUUGUGUUGUGUUUUAUUAUUAAAAAAACAAACUAACAGGACAUUAUAGAAUAGAUUAUAGUGCUGUAACCUGUGGUAAAUUUCCAGAUUAGGGUUGCAAUUUACAAAACUAUUAUUAUUUGUUUAAUAAAGACCUAGUUUUCAGGUAAGAUUCUAUAUACUCUCUUUUAUUUUAAUAUUAAGGUUUUAAAAUUCUAGUUUCUCUAUAAAUAAUUAUGUUUUCUACUACUCCACAGUCACACCCAAAAAAAUGUUGUGUAGCUGGGUGUCUGAAUCAGGAUGGCAAGAGGCAUAGAUUUCCAAAAAUGAUCCAGAAAUAUACAAUGUAUGGAUUUCCAUUAUUAAUCCACCUAAUUAUCAUUGUUUAUCCUUGGAACAAAUCUAUAAUCGUUUUUAUGUUGGCGAUUGUCACUUUAAAGAGUACUGCAAAGUGCCAACCAGUAAGAGAGGACUCAAAAGAGCAGCAAUACCUACUCUUAAUAUUGAAGGGUAUGGUGCUUAUAAUGCUGAGCUAUUAUUAAGCAAUAAAGGACAUAUAAUAAAUGGCACAUAUUAUGCAAAAGGUUCCGUCGAUGGGUCCAUAUGUUCUAAAGUUAUCAGCCAAACUAAUGUGGUAGAAAAUAUAUUAGAAGUACCUAUAGAAAUAGCUGAUGAGAAAUCCUCAUAUGCUUUAAAUCAAAAAGAUAUUCCUGAAAAUACCUCAUCUUAUAUGGAAAUAAUUGCUAUAAUAGAAAAUUCCAACAAUCAAAUAGAUAUUGAAAAAGUACCAUUACAAAUUGUACCUAAUGUCUCAAGGAAAAAGGAAUCUGCUAAGAAACGUCUUGAAAAAAAGAAGGUUUUCAUUAAAAAGUUUAAAUGUUCAUCGUUCCAUUGAGUUGACACCAAAGGCCAAAAAAUGAUACACCAAAUUAACAUCUUGGAGGAGUGAAAUAUAUGGAAUGGAAAAAAAAAUUAAAUCCUACAAAGAGAGAAUAGGUAUUGCCGAAAAAUAUGUCAAUUCCACAGAUUUUAAAAAUCUCUUAAAACAUAUUAAUAGUCCUACUUACAAGUUCAUUAUAAAAUGAUGUAUAUUAUUAUAUCUAUCUUCACCAAUAACAAAUUAUUAUUCGUGAAAUCACAGAAACGUAGAUGUAUCAGAGACAACUAUUUUUUUCUGCAUGUAUGUUAUUUGGUAGUAUGUUAUGUAUUUAGCAUAGACAUAAUGCAAAAUAGACAAUACUU
rnacentral:lncRNA from 1 species